rnacentral:rRNA from 1 species
GAACCCUGUCUCAGUUCGGAUUGGAGUCUGCAACUCGACUCCAUGAAGCUGGAUUCGCUAGUAAUCGCGCAUCAGCCAUGGCGCGGUGAAUACGUUCCCGGGCCUUGUACACACCGCCCGUCAAGCCAUGGGAGUCGGGGGUACCUGAAGUGCGUAACCGCAAGGAGCGCCCUAGGGUAAAACUGGUGAUUGGGGCUAAGUCGUAACAAGGUACC